rnacentral:rRNA from 1 species
UGCAGGAGGAAUGUCUUAUGGAUUGUAAACUGCUUUAUUUGGGAAUAAACCCCCCGACGUGUCGGGGUCUGAAGGUACCAAAUGAAUAAGCACCGGCUAACUCCGUGCCAGCAGCCGCGGUAAUACGGAGGGUGCAAGCGUUAUCCGGAAUCAUUGGGUUUAAAGGGUCCGCAGGCGGGCAUAUAAGUCAGUGGUGAAAGCCUACAGCUCAACUGUAGAACUGCCAUUGAUACUGUAAGUCUUGAAUUCGGUCGAAGUGGGCGGAAUGUGUAGUGUAGCGGUGAAAUGCAUAGAUAUUACACAGAACACCGAUAGCGAAGGCAGCUCACUAGGCCUGGAUUGACGCUCAGGGACGAAAGCGUGGGGAUCAAACAGGAUUAGAUACCCUGGUAGUCCACGCUGUAAACGAUGAUUACUCGUUUUCGGCGAUAUACAGUC